UUAUGGUCAUAACACAAUGAAACACCAAUUACUGUACGAUCACCGAAGUUAAGCAAUGUUGAGCCUGGUCAGUACUGAUAUGAGUGACCACUUGGGAAAACUGGGUGCUGUAA